rnacentral:rRNA from 1 species
GAGUUUGAUCUUGGCUCAGAUUGAACGCUGGCGGCAUGCCUUACACAUGCAAGUCGAACGGCAGCACGGGAGCUUGCUCCUGGUGGCGAGUGGCGAACGGGUGAGUAAUGCAUCGGAACGUAUCCUGGAGUGGGGGAUAACGUAGCGAAAGUUACGCUAAUACCGCAUAUUCUGUGAGCAGGAAAGCGGGGGACCUUCGGCCUCGCGCUCUUGGAGCGGCCGAUGUCGGAUUAGCUAGUUGGUGAGGUAAAGGACUCACCAAGGCGACGAUCCGUAGCAGGUCUGAGAGGAUGAUCUGCCACACUGGAACUGAGACACGGUCCAGACUCCUACGGGAGGCAGC